rnacentral:rRNA from 1 species
CGAAAGGAGAGAUUCACGUCUUUACGCGGUCGGCCCCGUCCCGUGCAGAUGGUUCCCGGCGACGGGCUCGCUUCGGCGUGCACGCGUCGGUCCACUCGUUCGGGGCGCGGAGUCCGUCCGCAGAGGACCGCACUUCUCUUCCUGUAGGACGUCGCGACCCGUUGGCCGGCGGUCUAAGGACCGGGCGGGCAGCCUGCGGUCGGGCCCGGCUCCGGCCGUUCCCGCCGCAGACCCUCGGCUCCCGACCGAUCGGCCGACGGUAUGAUGUGAAGGUGAAGGACCGCCUCGCGGCGAGCGUCCGGGUGUGUCGCAAGUGGCCGCGUGCUACGGCGUGUCCGGGCUUCGCGCUCGGGCGCCGGGCGCGCACCGCUGUUGGCGGCGCUUUCUCGGACCGGUCCAACGCCGGCCGGCGACGCUUAAGCUUCGGGUGCUUAUCCGACCCGUCUUGAAACACGGACCAAGGAGUCUAACGUGUGCGCGAGUCGUUGGGAUUCGAAAAGUUAAUCCCGUGGGCGCAAUGAGAGUGAAGGGACGGGCGGCCUCGCGGCCACCGCUCCUAGGGAGGACCGGCGCUCGUUCUGUCCAGACGGCGCCGUGCACUCCCGGGGCGUCUCGAUCUCUCCGCAAGGCGAGGCGAGGCGCACCUAGAGCGUACACGUUGGGACCCGAAAGAUGGUGAACUAUGCCUGGCCAGGACGAUAGUCAGGGGAAACCCUGAUGGAGGUCCGCAGCGAUUCUGACGUGCAAAUCGAUCGUCUGAGC